UGGGGAAUAUUGGACAAUGGGCGCAAGCCUGAUCCAGCCAUGCCGCGUGGAUGAUGAAGGCCUUAGGGUUGUAAAAUCCUUUCGCCGAGGACGAUAAUGACGGUACUCGGAGAAGAAGCUCCGGCUAACUUCGUGCCAGCAGCCGCGGUAAUACGAAGGGGGCUAGCGUUGUUCGGAUUUACUGGGCGUAAAGCGCGUGUAGGCGGGUCGUUAAGUUGGGGGUGAAAUCCCGAGGCUCAACCUCGGAACUGCCUUCAAAACUGGCGACCUGGACCUAAGUAGAGGCAAGUGGAAUUGCGAGUGUAGAGGUGAAAUUCGUAGAUAUUCGCAGGAACACCAGUGGCGAAGGCGACUUGCUGGACUUAUGGUGACGCUGAGACGCGAAAGCGUGGGGAGCAAACAGGAUUAGAUACCCCAGUAGUCCCUGAGCGGGCUGGCAAGGCGCAU
rnacentral:rRNA from 1 species